UACGUAGGGGGCAAGCGUUGUCCGGAAUCAUUGGGCGUAAAGAGCGCGUAGGCGGCCCUGUAAGUCCGCUGUGAAAGUCAAGGGCUCAACCCUUGAAUGCCGGUGGAUACUGCAGGGCUAGAGUCCGGAAGAGGCGAGUGGAAUUCCUGGUGUAGCGGUGAAAUGCGCAGAUAUCAAGCGGAACACCAGUGGCGAAGGCGAGUCCCUGGACAACUCCUGACACUGAGGCACGAAAGCUAGGGGAGCAAACAGG
rnacentral:rRNA from 1 species